GCUACAUUUAAUUCUUUGGACUUUUCAUAAAAUUGCUAUUAAAUUCACAGAAGGCUCCUUGAAUGUCCACAUGGUGGCACUGCAUCUUUAAAGACUGUUGCAGGAUGCUAACAGACACAGAUAAUCAUCCAUUGGAGUGCUACGGACCCAGGGACCAUCCACUCAGACACUCAGCCAGUCCAAUAUGAACAAGUUAUAUUUUCUAGGGGUUUCCCCAGUUUCCAGCUGCAAGACCAUGUAAAGCCAGACCCAUGAGUGAUCUGCAGUCUCUACACGAACCACCAUUUCAGCCCUGCCCUCUCCUCCCUCUCUCACUGUGUGUGGAAAAAAGAUGGUCAUUCAAGAGUGAGACUCACAUAGGCUGCAGUGCUGAGCUGAGGCAUGUGAAAGAUCCUGAGGAUGCAGGAAGCUGUACCAAGAUUGGGACCGCAGAGUCUCCACAUUUAGACCCAAAUAAACAUUCACACUGAAAGUUGAAAAAAAGGAAAAAUUCUCAUGUCACGGCUGUGCUGAGAACGGAAACAUGGCAGGAAGAAGCUGCUCUCUAGUGCAGAAGAUGAAGGU